rnacentral:rRNA from 1 species
UACGUAGGGGGCAAGCGUUGUCCGGAUUUAUUGGGCGUAAAGCGCGUGUAGGCGGCUUUUUAAGUCCGAUGUGAAAACUCUCGGCUCAACUGGGAGACUGCAUUGGAAACUGGAUAGCUGGAGUGCAGGAGAGGGAAGUGGAAUUCCUAGUGUAGCGGUGAAAUGCGCAGAUAUUAGGAGGAACACCAGUGGCGAAGGCGGCUUCCUGGACUGUAACUGACGCUGAGACGCGAAAGCUAGGGGAGCAAACAGG